UUAUAUAUUGUGCACAAGUACGAAUAUUUUAAAGUUAGCGUUUUUUAUUGCGACUGUUCUGACGGUGACAGUCAAAUGUUGCAUAAGAGAUACCCAAUGUUCGGCGUUAUACUGUAGCGGUGCCGACCAAAAAGGAACUUGCAUUAGAGGAGCGUGUGUUUGCCGGACAGCGCAGCAAUGUUGGCGAGCAAGUCAGUGCGCAUGCUCACACACAAUUCUUCCUGUCUGGGCUUACUGUAGGGGUGGAUAUUGUGUUUGUUAAAGGAACUUAGUUUAGAAAUUAUAUUUCGUUGUUGGUUUUAACACUUCCGCCACGACUCGAAUCGAUUACGUGUACAUUUACCCAUCGUGUUUGGACCUCAAAGGUUUACAUCAUCUUAGAAAAAUUCUUAUGGAUUAAACUGUAUCAUUUGUUCAUUGAACAGUAAACUGGAAACAAAAUAUAUUGAUAAUGCAUGCAAUAUUUUCAUUGAAAAUGUAUUGUAAAAUUAGUUACUGAUUAAUAACAUCUGUAAAAAUUAAUAAUCUUGAAUUAAAAAUCCACUGAGAAGCUUUA